CCUACGGGAGGCAGCAGUAGGGAAUCUUCCACAAUGGGCGAAAGCCUGAUGGAGCAACGCCGCGUGAGUGAUGAAGGCCUUCGGGUUGUAAAACUCUGUCAUUCGGGACGAACCGGAGUCUGAGGAAAUGCAGACUCUCUGACGGUACCGGAGGAGGAAGCCCCGGCUAACUACGUGCCAGCAGCCGCGGUAAUACGUAGGGGGCAAGCGUUGUCCGGAUUCACUGGGCGUAAAGCGCGCGCAGGCGGUGAUGUAAGUCUGAGGUGAAAACCCGAAGCUCAACUUCGGGACUGCCUUGGAUACUGCGUCACUUGAGGAUAGGAGAGGCAAGGGGAAUUCCACGUGUAGCGGUGAAAUGCGUAGAGAUGUGGAGGAACACCUGUGGCGAAGGCGCCUUGCUGGCCUAUUUCUGACGCUGAGGCGCGAAAGCGUGGGGAGCAAACAGGAUUAGAUACCCUGGUAGUCCACGCUGUAAACGAUGGGUGCUAGGUGUAGGUGGGCUCAUACCCAUCUGUGCCGAAGCUAACGCAUUAAGCACUCCGCCUGGGGAGUACGGUCGCAAGACUGAAACUCAAAGGAAUUGACGG
rnacentral:rRNA from 1 species